CCCUGGCUAGCUCAAUCGGUAGAGCGCUCCACUUGUAAUGGAGAGGUCCCGGGUUCGAUACCCGGACCAGGCG
rnacentral:tRNA from 1 species